rnacentral:lncRNA from 1 species
UCCGGGGGAAGCUCACCGCCGAGGCCACGCACGGGGUGCGCGUCACCCACCGCCGCCUCGGGGAAGGUCUGAGGGAGGGGCCGGGGCGGCCCCAGCAGGGCCCCGCCCGCGAGGGGCGGGUGAGCCACCAGCAAGGGGCGGCGCCGCGG